GAUAAACGCUGGCGGCGUGCCUAAUACAUGCGAGUCGAGCGAACGGACGAGAAGCUUGCUUCUCUGAUGUUAGCGGCGGACGGGUGAGUAACACGUGGAUAACCUACCUAUAAGACUGGGAUAACUUCGGGAAACCGGAGCUAAUACCGGAUAAUAUUUUGAACCGCAUGGUUCAAAAGUGAAAGACGGUCUUGCUGUCACUUAUAGAUGGAUCCGCGCUGCAUUAGCUAGUUGGUAAGGUAACGGCUUACCAAGGCAACGAUGCAUAGCCGACCUGAGAGGGUGAUCGGCCACACUGGAACUGAGACACGGUCCAGACUCCUACGGGAGGCAGCAGUAGGGAAUCUUCCGCAAUGGGCGAAAGCCUGACGGAGCAACGCCGCGUGAGUGAUGAAGGUCUUCGGAUCGUAAAACUCUGUUAUUAGGGAAGAACAUAUGUGUAAGUAACUGUGCACAUCUUGACGGUACCUAAUCAGAAAGCCACGGCUAACUACGUG
rnacentral:rRNA from 1 species